rnacentral:rRNA from 1 species
GCAAGUCGAGCGGAGUGAUGGUGCUUGCACUAUCACUUAGCGGCGGACGGGUGAGUAAUGCUUAGGAAUCUGCCUAUUAGUGGGGGACAACAUUUCGAAAGGAAUGCUAAUACCGCAUACGUCCUACGGGAGAAAGCAGGGGAUCUUCGGACCUUGCGCUAAUAGAUGAGCCUAAGUCGGAUUAGCUAGUUGGUGGGGUAAAGGCCUACCAAGGCGACGAUCUGUAGCGGGUCUGAGAGGAUGAUCCGCCACACUGGGACUGAGACACGGCCCAGACUCCUACGGGAGGCAGCAGUGGGGAAUAUUGGACAAUGGGCGGAAGCCUGAUCCAGCCAUGCCGCGUGUGUGAAGAAGGCCUUAUGGUUGUAAAGCACUUUAAGCGAGGAGGAGGCUACUUUAGUUAAUACCUAGAGAUAGUGGACGUUACUCGCAGAAUAAGCACCGGCUAACUCUGUGCCAGCAGCCGCGGUAAUACAGAGGGUGCAAGCGUUAAUCGGAUUUACUGGGCGUAAAGCGCGCGUAGGCGGCUAAUUAAGUCAAAUGUGAAAUCCCCGAGCUUAACUUGGGAAUUGCAUUCGAUACUGGUUAGCUAGAGUGUGGGAGAGGAUGGUAGAAUUCCAGGUGUAGCGGUGAAAUGCGUAGAGAUCUGGAGGAAUACCGAUGGCGAAGGCAGCCAUCUGGCCUAACACUGACGCUGAGGUGCGAAAGCAUGGGGAGCAAACAGGAUUAGAUACCCUGGUAGUCCAUGCCGUAAACGAUGUCUACUAGCCGUUGGGGCCUUUGAGGCUUUAGUGGCGCAGCUAACGCGAUAAGUAGACCGCCUGGGGGAGUACGGUCGCAAGACUAAAACUCAAAUGAAUUGACGGGGGCCCGCACAAGCGGUGG